ACAAAAUUACAAAGGAAUAAAAAAAAAGGAAUUCCUAAACUAAAUCUUCAUCUUCCAAAUCUCUCCCAAUCUUUUUAUUAUCAUUUUCCUGCAAUAAGAGAAACAAAACCAAGACAAGAAAGUAUUGGGUUAUGGUUAUAAUGUUGCCAUCAUAUGAAAUGAGGCAUUUUAAUCUUGGAACUCACUACUAGACAUCAGGAACUUGUCCUAAUAUCUAAAUUGUUGUUAGAGGGAUCAAUUUUAAUCUAUAGCAACUUUGUUGAUCAUGUAUCAACUCUGGAUCAUUUUAUAUCAUAAGGCAACAAUGAGAAAAUAGGCAACAGGGACAAGUGACACCAUUUGAUCCAUAUCAAAAGGGGAUCAGGGCAACAAUAUGUGAUCCACUUCUCUUAGGUAACAAAAUAUAUUAUCAAUCCCUCUAACUUAGUUAAGUUCCUAUUUAAACCAAACCCACAAAUGCAUAUAAAGGAACCAUGUCUGACAUGGAUGAGUCAGCAUGAUCCUAAGUCAACCUGAGUAAUUUCCACUUGGCAGUGCCAAAAAUAAAGGCUAACAGGGGAUAAGAACAAACCAGUAGUGCCUUGCACCUGAGGCAAACAAAGCCAACUUGCUCACCUACAGUAGUGAUAGAAGCACACAGGCAGCUCACACAUAGUGUGUGUUGUCACUCCCACAGCCAACGCCAACAGUAGUAUAUAAGAGGAAUAACAGCAGCUGUACCAAGCAGCUCUUCUAGUACAUCUCACACUUUCAGCCGCAACACACACACCACACUUUGGCAUAGCUAUAGAACAGCAAGAAACCAAGAUCAACAACAUGAAGCCAAUCCAGAAGCUAGGAGAAGGUAAUGACCCAAAGAAUAGGUGGACCAGAUUCCAGAAGAACAAGCCAUCAGACUCCACAGUCUAGCAGAUAUGGAGGCAUCGAAGGAGGAUCUACAGUGCACUCGAAGAACGAGGAGUCAACAACUACUUCAAGAUACAGGAACCUGUCAGAGGAGUCAAAUACCACAUCCAACAAGGAGAAAACCUAGUUUAGCCAUAGAAGGGAACUAGCUUCCUAAACCUAGCUCCUAUUUAGCUAGAGUCUAUUCUUAGCCUCUGUAGUUAGUGAAAUACUCUACAAAUAGAGUUCGUGAUAGGCUUAGAUCACGAGUCAUUCUUCUGGAGUUUAUUUGCAGUUUUACCUCAUUGUAAAGUAGGAGGCUGUGUGGAUCUUUUGUAAAGAGUCGAUGUUGUAAUUCUAUAGACAUGCCUUGGACCCGCAUAUGUUUCUGUUGUACCACUCUGAGCGAUAUAAUACGAGUGGAACUGUGUUUCA